UAGGGAAUAUUGCGCAAUGGGCGAAAGCCUGACGCAGCAACGCCGCGUGGGGGAUGAAUGCCUUCGGGUUGUAAACCCCUUUCAGCAGGGACGAAAUUGACGGUACCUGCAGAAGAAGCCCCGGCCAACUACGUGCCAGCAGCCGCGGUAAUACGUAGGGGGCGAGCGUUGUCCGGAAUUAUUGGGCGUAAAGAGCUCGUAGGCGGCUCAGCAAGUCGGGUGGGAAAUCUCCAGGCUCAACCUGGAGCCUUCGCCCGAUACUGCUGUGGCUUGAGUCCGGUAGGGGAGUGUGGAAUUCCCGGUGUAGCGGUGAAAUGCGCAGAUAUCGGGAGGAACACCGACGGCGAAGGCAGCACUCUGGGCCGGUACUGACGCUGAGGAGCGAAAGCGUGGGGAGCAAACAGG
rnacentral:rRNA from 1 species